UCGGAUGUGGUGCACGGUGCAUAUCAGCUCAUUGGGCUUUCAAACGAUUGUCAGGUUAAGGACCGGGGUUCGACUCCCCGCAUCCGAA